AUCCUACCUUCUCUUAUAAGAGUCUCUUUAAGUUUACUAUUCAUUUUUGUAUCCUUAGAUUUCACACCACUGUAGCAAAAUUGGUUUGCAGUGCUUUUUCCUAUUUUCAACUUUUUAGCCCACCUUUUUUGACUAUUUAGCAAGAUAUUAUCUUUUACAUUUCGUAUUCUCCAAACCACCUGCACAUUUUUGCAGACUAUCAAUUCAAUUCGUAUCUCUCUUAUACUUCUCCAGUUUCAUUCUGUAUUGAAAACUCAAAACAAAAACAUUGAACUCCCCAACAAUUAUCCAUAAAAAAAGAGUUAACGAUAUAAUAAUUGCAACGACAACGAGGACGAGCGAGUUUAGUACUAGGUACGAGCAUUUUCUUAUCCCAAUGGAUUCUUCGAAACCAUCUGCAAAUCAAUUGCCUGGUUUUUGUAACAUUGAAAGCGUUCACGAAAGCAUAAGUGUAUCAUCUAAUGCAUUCAUUCAUCAGCAAAAAAGUCAAAGACAGGCAGACGGGAGGAAUUGAAGCCAAACCGUGUGCAUUGAUCAUCGUAGAAGAUGCUUAAUGGAACAAAGAAAUGAUCUUAAGCUUCUUGUUGCGAAUACUAUUCAUUUAAGUUACAUAUUAGGCAUUCUGGUAAGUUUGUAUUACUUUAUACUGGUAGAUUUUUUCAACAGUAUGUUGUAGAUAUGUACGUCUAGAUUGAAACUGCCAAGUUAUAUUAUUUUCGAAAGAAUUAGAAACAAA